UGCAAGCCGAACGCAGUAGCAAUACUGAGUGGCAAACGGGUGAGUAUAAUGUGGGAAUCUGCCUUUUGGUUUGGAAUAACACGGGGAAACUUGUGCUAAUACCGAAUAAGCCCUUACGGGGAAAGUUUUAAUGCCGAAAGAUGAGCCCGCACUUGAUUAGCUAGUUGGUAAGGUAAAAGCUUACCAAGGCAAUGAUCAAUAGCUGUUCUUAGAGGAAGACCAGCCACAUUGGGACUGAGACACGGCCCAGACUCCUACGGGAGGCAGCAGUGGGGAAUCUUGCACAAUGGGGGAAACCCUGAUGCAGCGAUGCCGCGUGAGUGAAGAAGGCCUUUGGGUUGUAAAACUCUCUCGUCGGGGAAGAAAAUGACUGUACCCGAAUAAGAAGGUCCGGCUAACUUCGUGCCAGCAGCCGCGGUAAUACGAAGGGACCUAGCGUAGUUCGGAAUUACUGGGCUUAAAGAGCUCGUAGGUGGUUAAAAAAGUUGAUGGUGAAAUCCCAAGGCUCAACCUUGGAACUGCCAUCAAAACUUUUUAGCUAGAGUGUGAUAGAGGUAAGUGGAAUUUCUAGUGUAGAGGUGAAAUUCGUAGAUAUUAGAAAGAACACCAAAUGCGAAGGCAACUUACUGGGUCACUACUGACACUGAGGAGCGAAAGCAUGGGUAGCGAAGAGGAUUAGAUACCCUCGUAGUCCAUGCCGUAAACGAUGUGUGCUAGACGUUGGAAAUAUAUUUUUCAGUGUCGCAGCGAAAGCAUUAAGCACACCGCCUGGGGAGUACGACCGCAAGGUUAAAACUCAAAUGAAUUGACGGGGACCCGCACAAGCAGUGGAGCAUGUGGUUUAAUUCGAAGAUACGCGCAGAACCUUACCAACACUUGACAUGUUCGUCGCGAGCCUAAGAGAUUAGGCUUUUCAGUUUGGCUGGACGAAACACAGGUGCUGCAUGGCUGUCGUCAGCUCG
rnacentral:rRNA from 1 species